rnacentral:lncRNA from 1 species
GAGAGGAGUCACAGUCCAGACGACCAACAGGUUAAACAUUGAGGAGACAGAGAGGAGUCACAGUCCAGACGACCAACAGGUUAAAACAUUGAGGAGACAGAGAGGAGUCACAGUCCAGACGACCAACAGGUUAAAACGUUAAGGAGACAGAGAGGAGUCACAGUCCAGACGACCAACAGGUUAAACAUUGAGGAGACAGAGAGGAGUCACAGUCCAGACGACCAACAGGUUAAACAUUGAGGAGACAGAGAGGAGUCACAGACCAGACGACCAACAGGUUAAAACAUUGAAGAGACAGAGAGGAGUCACAGUCCAGGCGACCAACAGGUUAAAAAAGAGAGUUAAAAUAAAAAGGUUAUAGUUGUGGUGGGAGCAAUGAGUCUCUCAAUCUCUCUCUUCCCUAUCUGUCUCUCUCUCUCUUUCUUUCUAUCUCUCUCAUCCCUAUCUGUCUCUCUAUCUCUCUCUCAAUCUCUCUCUUCCCUAUCUGUCUCUCUCUCUCUCUCUCUCUUUCUAUCUCUCUCUUUCUCUCUCGCUUUC